AUUUGCGUCAGUUUGACAAUGAGAAAAUCAGGAGAAAGGUUUUUCCUUCUUUGGGCCAAGCUUUGGUCCUUGUAAGAACAAUUGCUAAUAUGUCUAGUGACUAUAGUUCUGAUCAUUUUUAUGCUUAUAAAAGCCUGAUGCUGAAUGCCUAUGUUUUAAAAUUUUUAUAAGAUCAACUUUGCUUUCAGAUAACCCUCCUUCCUCCACCUCACAAAAACUCACAAGCUGCAACCCUUCUGAUGUCCACUCCCACACAAACCAGCUUCAGGCCUUUUUCAAGUGGAUGCUGUGGGGCACCACCUCCUUGAGGACCAAGGCACUCCAGCUGCCAGGAAUUUGGCUGCUAACCUCACACAGCUGAGCCUUCCAUGAAAAUUGCUCUCUGCCAAAGAGAACUUCCUAGUCCAAGGUCAUGUCUACUCUCCAGAGAUGUGACUGGAGUGAUUUGCACCCGGAUGCCUAGACUCGCCAUCUGCUCAAAGACUGCUCAGAAAGCCCUCCCAUGCAUUCCCCUGCUGCAUACCAGCCCACUCUGCCUGCAGCUGCUGUCUGCAGGACUUCAUAUCUAUGCCACACUGUGUAAAAGCUGUGCUUCAAGAAAUCACAAAAACAUUUUCCUGCACCUACUACACAGCCUGAGUGCGGCAUAAGUUGACCUUGCUUGCUAAGAAAUGGGGCAAGAAAUGCUUUUUUGUGUGUGUCAUGUCUGUUUGUUUUUCAAUUAAGAGAGGAAAGCAUUAGGCAGAUGGAAUGUACAUGUGAGGAUGAGGAGACAGAAAACAAGUAGCCCUUUCCAUCAAGAUAGAGGGUUUUCUGGGGUUGCUGGCUAUUGAAUGUCACUCCUGAUUUCUCUUUCCAAGGCACUGUACCACCAGCCUACUGAGAUUGUGUGGGAGCUUU
rnacentral:lncRNA from 1 species